rnacentral:lncRNA from 1 species
CUCUUAUACACGAUCUCCAUUUCAAAUCUCUUUUUUUUUUUAUAAAAUGUUACAAAUCAGAUACAACAUGUAGGUAUUCUUUGGAACGAAAACGUUAUAUUUGAACAAACUGAUAAUAUAUUACAUCAAUCGUAUCAACAACAUGUUACAAAAUGUAGUACAGCAACACUGUUAGUAAUGUUUUAAUGCCUAACUCGCCAAUUGGUGGCUUUUAAUUUUCAGCGCAAUUAUUACUUCUAGUGUUUAUUCAAAUUUUUUUUAGCAGAAGGCACGUUAUGGUUUGACAUAUUCAAUAUUUCAAUUUGUCGAUGUAAUUAUGGAAUAACAUUGAAAAUGUCGUCAUUAACAUGAUGUCGUAAUAUUUUGUAGACAUAAUCGAUGCUAAUGAUUAGCAAAAGAUGAUUAUUUGGUGCCUGUGUAUUCUUCAACAUAGAAUCAAUCAAUUUUUGUUUUCCUAUCACGAUUUCCUUGAUAGAGUGUUGCUGUUCACAAGGAAUAUAUUUAAAAAAUGUCCAAGUGGUGAAGUUGAAAUGGUCACUUCGUAAAUAUUCCUGACACAAUCACGAGUGUUAUGGUAUAUCCGUGUCACAGAUGACAGCAGACAUGUUCAAAAUUACUAUCUACAAUCCCGUUCCCUUUCUACCAAAUGUGACCUAUCGAAUUAGACUUACCGAAUUUGUUCAAAGAUAGGAUACACGAUGGCUGCAACAUCUGAGGCAAUAUCUCCUUAUCCUUCUUGUAUA